AUGGGAUCUCAAUCCUCCAUCUGUCAUGGAUCCUCGCUGGGGCAGCAUGGUGAUGCAGUCCGGCAUGCGCGCGCGUGCAACACGAUUGUGGUGGCGAGGCAGCUCGUGUUGUUCCUUCAGCUAGUGGAGGGUUGGCCUUUAGUUCAGAAAAAAAAAUUAAGUGUAGCUCACUUGUUUCAUUGCUGUAGUGAUCUUGUAUUCCGAGCGGUUCACUAUGUUGCCAAGUGCAAAAACAAAAUGGAAGAAAACAAACUGGAAAAAGUUGAUUUUUUAAUGCAGCUCACUCUGUUGUUUGUUUGCGGUAGAAAGAAAAUUGGAAAAGAACAAUUGAUGCAGUACACUCACCCUUGUCCCUGA
rnacentral:rRNA from 1 species